UACAGAGGUCUCAAGCGUUGUUCGGAUUCAUUGGGCGUAAAGGGUGCGUAGGUGGCGCCGUAAGUCGGGUGUGAAAAUUUCGGAGCUUAACUCCGAAACUGCAUUCGAUACUGCGGUGCUUGAGGACUGGAGAGGAGACUGGAAUUCAUGGUGUAGCAGUGAAAUGCGUAGAGAUCAUGAGGAAGACCAGUGGCGAAGGCGGGUCUCUGGACAGUUCCUGACACUGAGGCACGAAGGCCAGGGGAGCAAACGGG
rnacentral:rRNA from 1 species